rnacentral:lncRNA from 1 species
ACUCUAUUACCUAUCAGCUGAUGAGAACAGUAUUGAAUCUUCUUUGAUGGGGUAUGCAUUGUCUGCUGAAGGUGCCACUUCAGAACUUAUGUUACACCAUCGUAGGCUGGAUCAUAUAUUUUUUUUCUAUUCUUAAUCAUUUAUUUCCUUCUUUAUCAAAUAAUUGUAAUAAAAAUUUAUUAGUUUGUGAUCAUUGUGAGUUGGCUAAACACAUCAAGGGAGUAUUUUCUAUGUCUGGAAUUAAAAAUUCUGAACCUUUUGUUAUAAUUCACUCUGAUGUAUGGGGA